UCGAGGAUCUUUAGCAAUGGGGGAAACCCUGACUAUGCGACGCCGCGUGAGGGAUGAAGGUUUUCGGAUCGUAAACCUCUUUCGUUAGGAAAGAAACGCCGAGCAAUCGGAACUGACGGUACCUAAGGAAGAAGCCACGGCCAACUCCGUGCCAGCAGCCGCGGUAAUACGGAGGUGGCGAGCGUUACUCGGAUUCAUUGGGUGUAAAGGGCAGGUAGGUGGCCUGACAAGUGGGAGGUGAAAUCCCUCGACUUAAUCGAGGAACUGCCUUCCAAACUAUCAGGCUUGAGUCCAGAAGAGGAGAAUGGAAUUCCCGGUGUAAGGGUGAAAUCUGUAGAUAUCGGGAGGAACACCAGUGGCGAAGGCGAUUCUCUGGUCUGGUUCUGACACUGAGCUGCGA
rnacentral:rRNA from 1 species